UAGGGAAUCUUCGGCAAUGGACGGAAGUCUGACCGAGCAACGCCGCGUGAGUGAAGAAGGUUUUCGGAUCGUAAAGCUCUGUUGUAAGAGAAGAACGAGUGUGAGAGUGGAAAGUUCACACUGUGACGGUAUCUUACCAGAAAGGGACGGCUAACUACGUGCCAGCAGCCGCGGUAAUACGUAGGUCCCGAGCGUUGUCCGGAUUUAUUGGGCGUAAAGCGAGCGCAGGCGGUUAGAUAAGUCUGAAGUUAAAGGCUGUGGCUUAACCAUAGUACGCUUUGGAAACUGUUUAACUUGAGUGCAAGAGGGGAGAGUGGAAUUCCAUGUGUAGCGGUGAAAUGCGUAGAUAUAUGGAGGAACACCGGUGGCGAAAGCGGCUCUCUGGCUUGUAACUGACGCUGAGGCUCGAAAGCGUGGGGAGCAAACAGGAUUAGAUACCCUGGUAGUCCACGCCGUAAACGAUGAGUGCUAGGUGUUAGACCCUUUCCGGGGUUUAGUGCCGCAGCUAACGCAUUAAGCACUCCACCUGGGGAGUACGACCGCAAGGUUG
rnacentral:rRNA from 1 species